rnacentral:rRNA from 1 species
UACGGAGGGGGCUAGCGUUGUUCGGAAUUACUGGGCGUAAAGCGCACGUAGGCGGACUGUUAAGUCGGGGGUGAAAUCCUGGGGCUCAACCUCAGAAUUGCCUCCGAUACUGGCAGUCUCGAGUGCGGGAGAGGUGAGUGGAAUUCCCAGUGUAGAGGUGAAAUUCGUAGAUAUCUGGAGGAACACCGGUGGCGAAGGCGGCAUCCGUGGACCGGCAUUGACGCUAAAGCGCGAAAGCCAGGGGAGCAAACGGGG